AUGAACGCUGACAGAGUGCUUAACACAUGCAAGUCUUUGGCGAAGCUGUGCUUGCACAGCCUAGCCAAGGCGGACGGGUGAGUAACGCGUAAGGAACUUGCCCUGCAGUCAGGGAUAACAGACGGAAACGACUGAUAAGACCUGGUAAAGUCAGGCGGACUCAUGUCCAGCCUGAUGAAAAGAGAUGCUGCAGGAGAGCCUUGCGUCCUAUUAGCUUGUUGGUGGGGUAACGGCCCACCAAGGCGAUGAUAGGUAGCCGGCCUGAGAGGGUGGACGGCCACAAGGGGACUGAGAUACGGCCCUUACUCCUACGGGAGGCAGCAGUGGGGAAUAUUGGACAAUGGGGGCAACCCUGAUCCAGCAAUUCUGUGUGCACGAUGAAGGUUUUCGGAUUGUAAAGUGCUUUCAGCAGGGAAGAAAAAAAUGACGGUACCUGCAGAAGAAGCGACGGCUAAAUACGUG
rnacentral:rRNA from 1 species